GACGAACGCUGGCGGCGUGCUUAACACAUGCAAGUCGAACGGAAAGGCCCUGCUUGCCGGGUGCUCGAGUGGCGAACGGGUGAGUAACACGUGGGUGAUCUGCCCCUUACUUUGGGAUAAGCCUGGGAAACUGGGUCUAAUACUGGAUAGGACCAUGCUGUAGGUGGUGUGGUGGAAAGAUUAGUUUCGGUAAGGGAUGAGCUCGCGGCCUAUCAGCUUGUUGGUGGGGUAAUGGCCUACCAAGGCGUCGACGGGUAGCCGGCCUGAGAGGGUGGACGGCCACAUUGGGACUGAGAUACGGCCCAGACUCCUACGGGAGGCAGCAGUGGGGAAUAUUGCACAAUGGGCGCAAGCCUGAUGCAGCGACGCCGCGUGGGGGAUGAAGGCCUUCGGGUUGUAAACUCCUUUCAGCCAUGACGAAGCCUUCGGGUGACGGUAGUGGUAGAAGAAGCACCGGCUAACUACGUG
rnacentral:rRNA from 1 species